rnacentral:tRNA from 1 species
CUUGGGUUAUAGCUUAGUGGUAAAGUGCUUAUCUGGCACGAAAGAGGCUCUAGGUUCAAUUCCCAGCUCUGGGA